rnacentral:lncRNA from 1 species
GCAUGUCUAUGGAACCAGAACCAAAAGAGUGAUAGUUAACCAGUUUAUAUAUUCUCUUACAUUUUAGUUUGAUACUUAGAAGAAAAAUUGAAAUAUUUAAGGAGAAAUUGGUUAAUUAAUAAGGCCAUAUUCAAAAUCUAUUUGACAUUUAAUACCUGACUUUAUAAUUUUGUCUAUACCUUUGAUUAUUUUUUAAUAUGAAAUUAACCUUAUAAUCCUCUAAUUUAAUUUUUAAAUUACAGUUUAUGUUUAAUAAUUACGAAUUUAUGUAGUUUAUAUUUUUUUUUUUAUUAAACUAUUAAUUUAUGUAUUUUGUAAAAUAUUUUAAAUAUAUGUAUAAUUCAUAAUCAAUUCUAUAUUUAAUAAAAAUUAAAAAGAAAAAAUAUAUUCAUCCAAAUAUAAUUUAAUUUCGUAUUUUUAUUUAUGUAAUUUAUACAGUAUUUUAAAUAUA